rnacentral:tRNA from 1 species
GCCCGACUGGCGCAACUGGAUAGCGCAUGUGACUUCUAAGGGCUGUAAUUGCCCAUUGACAUCACAAGGUUGCGGGUUCAAUCCCCGCGUCGGGUU